UACUUGGAUACAGUGAAGCGUUGAGGCA
rnacentral:piRNA from 1 species